AUGACGUGUAGCAUGCCCGUUUGUGGAAUUACUCUGAUGUAUAUAUGCUAUGUUAUUGUUUUUGGGUAACGGGGUGUUACAGGUGA
rfam:Medicago truncatula strain A17 chromosome 6, whole genome shotgun sequence.